rnacentral:rRNA from 1 species
CCUAAAGCAUCCGUAGCCGGUUGCAUAAGUUUUCGGUUAAAUCUAUGCGCUUAACGUAUAGGCCGCCGAAAAUACUGUGCAGCUAGGGAGUGGGAGAGGUACACGGUACUCGAUAGGAAGGGGUAAAAUCCUUUGAUCUAUUGAUGACCACCUGUGGCGAAGGCGGUGUACCAGAACACGUUCGACGGUGAGGGAUGAAAGCUGGGGGAGCAAACCGGAUUAGAUACCCGGGUAGUCCCAGCUGUAAACGAUGCAGACUCGGUGAUGCAUUGGCUUGUGGCCAAUGCAGUGCCGCAGGGAAGCCGUUAAGUCUGCCGCCUGGGAAGUACGUACGCAAGUAUGAAACUUAAAGGAAUUGGCGGGGGAGCACCACAAGGGGUGAAGCCUGNNNNNNAAUUGGAGUCAACGCCAGAAAUCUUACCUGGGGAGACAGCAGAAUGAAGGUCAAGCUGAAGACUUUACCAGACACGCUGAGA